rnacentral:rRNA from 1 species
UCGACGGUGAUCUCGGUGCUUGCACCGGGUGAUCAGUGGCGAACGGGUGAGUAACACGUGAGCAACCUGCCCCCGACCCUGGGAUAACCCCGAGAAAUCGGAGCUAAUACCGGAUACGAGACGCACAGGCAUCUGUAGCGUCUGGAAAGAUUCAUCGGUCAGGGAUGGGCUCGCGGCCUAUCAGCUAGUUGGUGAGGUAGUGGCUCACCAAGGCGACGACGGGUAGCCGGCCUGAGAGGGCGACCGGCCACACUGGGACUGAGACACGGCCCAGACUCCUACGGGAGGCAGCAGUGGGGAAUAUUGCACAAUGGGCGCAAGCCUGAUGCAGCGACGCCGCGUGGGGGAUGAAGGCCUUCGGGUUGUAAACCCCUUUCAGCAGGGAAGAAGCGAAAGUGACGGUACCUGCAGAAGAAGCGCCGGCUAACUACGUGCCAGCAGCCGCGGUAAUACGUAGGGCGCAAGCGUUGUCCGGAUUUAUUGGGCGUAAAGAGCUCGUAGGCGGUUUGUCGCGUCUGCUGUGAAAACCCGAGGCUCAACCUCGGGCCUGCAGUGGGUACGGGCAGACUAGAGUGCGGUAGGGGAGACUGGAAUUCCUGGUGUAGCGGUGGAAUGCGCAGAUAUCAGGAGGAACACCGAUGGCGAAGGCAGGUCUCUGGGCCGCAACUGACGCUGAGGAGCGAAAGCAUGGGGAGCGAACAGGAUUAGAUACCCUGGUAGUCCAUGCCGUANACGUUGGGCACUAGGUGUGGGGCUCNUUCCACGAGUUCCGUGCCGCAGCAAACGCAUUAAGUGCCCCGCCUGGGGAGUACGGCCGCAAGGCUAAAAC